rnacentral:rRNA from 1 species
CCCUUAGAUGUUCUGGGCAGCACGCGCGCUACAAUGGUCUUCGCAAACGGAUGCAUUCUCGAAGGAGAAUGCCAAUCUUGAAAUCUAUGCCUUGGUCGGGACAGUUGCUUGCAAUUUUUCGACUCGAACCAGGAAUUCCUUGUAAUCGUGAUUCAUCACAUCACGAUGAAUACGUCCCUGCCCUUUGUACACACCGCCCGUCGCUCCUACCGAUCGAAGAGUUAGGUGAAUUGUUUUGAUCGAUAAGAUUUGACUAUGGUCAACUCUCGUUGUGAAAUUCUGUGAAUCUGACUGUUUAGAGGAAGGAAAAGUCGUAACA